rnacentral:rRNA from 1 species
GACGAACGCUGGCGGCACGCCUAACACAUGCAAGUCGAACGGACUUAGGAGAGCUUGCUCAAAUAAGUUAGUGGCGGACGGGUGAGUAACACGUGAGCAACCUGCCUCUAAGAGGGGAAUAGCUUCUAGAAAUGGAUGGUAAUACCUCAUAAAAUAUUUUAAUGGCAUCAUUGAAAUAUCAAAGAUUUAUCGCUUAGAGAUGGGCUCGCGUCUGAUUAGCUAGAUGGUAAGGUAACGGCUUACCAUGGCGACGAUCAGUAGCCGGACUGAGAGGUUGAACGGCCACAUUGGGACUGAGACACGGCCCAGACUCCUACGGGAGGCAGCAGUGGGGAAUAUUGCACAAUGGGCGAAAGCCUGAUGCAGCGAUGCCGCGUGAGGGAAGAAGGUCUUCGGAUUGUAAACCUCUGUUUUCAGGGACGAUAAUGACGGUACCUGAGGAGGAAGCUCCGGCUAACUACGUGCCAGCAGCCGCGGUAAUACG